UACGAAGGGGGCUAGCGUUGCUCGGAAUGACUGGGCGUAAAGGGCGCGUAGGCGGCUUGGUUUGUCAGGAGUGAAAGUCCUGGGCUCAACCUGGGGACUGCGCUUGAUACUGGUUGUCUUGAGUGGGGAAGAGGGUCGUGGAAUUCCCAGUGUAGAGGUGAAAUUCGUAGAUAUUGGGAAGAACACCGGUGGCGAAGGCGGCGACCUGGUCCUUGACUGACGCUGAGGCGUGAAAGCGUGGGGAGCAAACAGG
rnacentral:rRNA from 1 species